CGGCCUGAGGGGCCCAGGGCGCUCUUGAUGACCCUGGCCUCCUCGCUGCCAUUAUCCCUGCUUACACUCCCCCUGCAAAGCCCAAGCACGGAGCCCGCAUAGCCGUCUCCCGGGCAUCUAGUGGAAACUAGAUUCCCACCCAGGCGUAGAAAUUGAGCCCUCUCCCCGUUUCUCGGAAACCGCAGUACUGAACUGGCUUCACGUGCACAUGUAGACUACCCCGCAUCUGACGCAUAGCACCACGCUUGGCACGCUUUAUAGAACGUGCUUCGUGUCACAAGCAAUCCAGAAAGCAGCCUGGCGAGCGCAGGGUUUUCCUUAGCUCCCGGGAUUGGGCCCUAUCCGCCCCUCCGGUUGGGGUCGCCGCAGCCAGCCCGCCGCCCCUCUGAGAGGUUGCUCCGGGAACUUGCGUGGGUUUACGUCCUCCUCGCUCCCUCUGCGUACAGGCAAGCGAACAAGGCCUGAGACCUUUGCUGCGCGCCGGGCACGCGCGGAGGGUUGGCUGCUGGAACGCCUGGUGGUACUUGAAUUCACAGCACACACAUGGACGUUUUCGGGUUGUUUGUUUGCUUCCAAAGCAGUGCAGAAUAAAGCUGAGAGGCGCCGACCGGUUGACCAUUGCAGCCGACUGGUCUACGCUCCGGAUUCGCAUUGGAUUCAUCCAGACCGCCAAGAGAUGAAUUCAGGGUGUGCUCUCUGAAGCCUGCCAACUGAGAGCUCCGGGAUUGCCAUCGCCCCUCUUCGCACUGAGCCAUUGUGCUACCCUGCGCCGCAGUAACCACUGCUUUUUAGUUUUGUUUUCUCGCAUUAGGGGAGCAUCUCUGUGCAUCUGUGGAAGUAUUCUGCUUUAGGCCAAACCUAUACACACAGUAUCACUUUAAACAGUUUUAUGCUGUCAUCUUGUGCAAAGGUCCUCUCCCACCCGUACACAAAGACACUGGGGUGGGGGUGGGGAGGCCCCAUCCCUUAUUCAUAACUAGCUUGCUCAGUCCGUGGGCAUUUGAAUGGGGUGAUGCGAGACCUCCGUUUGAUCUCUCAAAGACCGUUAGGCAGAACGCAGAUCAUAUGCGGUAACUUUGGGGGCGCUAGCGUGGCCCCUCCAUCCGCUCCCUGAAAGUUUAGACCCAGUGCUUAAACACAAACUCCAAAAGAGCACUUGCCGGCUUUUCAGGACAGAGAUUUUAUUUUUUAUUACAACGUGGAGGUGUAGAAAGGUAAACUCUGCGCCACAGAGGGAGGACUAUUUUCCCCUUUGAAAUAGCUUGCAAAACGGGUCGUCGUCCUUGGACCAGCAGGUUUUCAAAAGCAUUUUCUUCUGCAGCGGCAAAAGGGGGAAAACAACAACAACAACAACGUUGCAAAAAGAACUCAAGAAAGCCCC
rnacentral:lncRNA from 1 species